CCUGGACCACUCAGGAAGUCGCUCCAGACCCGGGAGGCAGGAGGACAGCGCCACCACACUGAGGCCUGGACCUGUCGUCUGUAGGGGUUGCCCCGUCACACCUUGCAGGGCCAGGAAGUACGUGUGCCACAGGCUACCAGGUUAGCCAAGGUCCUCCAGCAGGGGCAUAGGUGGCCCCUACGGAUACCAUCCCAGGAGACCCUGCUGGUAGCUCUUUCCAGCAGAAGCACCAGCAUCACCUGUGCUGAUGGGUCCACAGAAGCCCAAGCAGCGACCACCUGGUGACCCAGUCAGACGGGAAGGUAUGGCCAGCUGCAAGUGUGAUGUCAGCCACAGCCACAGCAGACUGCAGACACCAACGAUUCCUGAGCCUCUAA
rnacentral:lncRNA from 1 species